rnacentral:sRNA from 1 species
GGAGAGAGCAAGGGAAGAAGACGAGGAACGA